rfam:Pteropus vampyrus cont1.285283, whole genome shotgun sequence.
CUAUCAGCCACGGCUCUUAGCUGGCCAGUGGGACGCAACCCUGCCCCCGCCUCCCCUUCUCGGCCAUCGCGAGUGUGGGAGCCACUGGCAAGUCUCUCCAG